rnacentral:lncRNA from 1 species
UUGUCAUUUUCUAAGAAUACUGUACUGAUUUUGAAAUAUAAGACUGUGGCAAUUCAAUGUUUUCUUUUUUGAUAAGCAUUUGAUAUUGAAAGCUUUUUCUAUAUGGUUUAUUUGAUGUGUUUUAAGUCUUGCAUGAGUGGAUCAAGGAACUCUUAAGAAAAGGUCAAAUGAAAGGAUAUGAGAAAUGUAAGUGCUUCAGUAGCCACGUGGGCAUGGGAAAAUGAGAAUUUUGAGAAACUGUUAUUUCAUAAGUGUGUAUCAUAGCUGAUUAAUUUAAAACACUUUCUUCGAUGAGAGGUGAAUCACACAUUCACCUGAACUGGCAUCCCAACUGUGUAUUUCCUAAGUGAUAGGAUAAGGGGAAGCACAUGAUAAAUAUUUGUGGUGUUCUGGCAUCAAUGACUCUGAUGUUUCAAGUUUAAACACUCUGUAGUAUUCACUAUCAGCUUUGACACUGAUUCUCUCAGGAUUUGUUUUGCUUCACUGUUUAAUGGUCCCUUUUAUCCUUAUCAGCCCAACAUGUUCACAUUAAUAUCCAUACUUUUCUAUUUUAGUUAUAGGCAUUUGAAAAAAUUUUACUUUUGAAAUAUAAUCUUUGUGAUUUAGAGAUCCUAUAUUCCUAUUUUACUCAGUAGAUUUCCAUCAUGUUGUUGUCCUAGGCAAUGAAAAGGAUGCCAAAAAGAACCCUCAAAACCUUAAGUAAUUAUUUUCAGAGCCAGGCAUGAGGACUUAGCUUGAUACUAACACUACACGAAUGUUUAGUUGGCCCUGUCAUACCUACAUAUAAUUGAUGACAUGUCCCCUUUGCUUUGUAGGGUCUCCUGAAUAACAUCCUUCCUUGAAGGUAAUUAUAUAUAUUUAUUUUUAUUCACUAACUUUAUAUUAUAUAAAAUAUAUAUGAUUUAUUAGUUAUUUUCUUCUAAAACCCAUUCAGCCUACCACUGAAAUGGAAGAUCCUGUUGUGAGAGAAGCAGUACAAAGAAAGAAUGUACAGGCAUCAAGAGCAGGGUUGCAGAAUUACCAGCAAUCCUCUUCCUGCCACCCAGGGCAGGCCUGUCCGCAGCAGAAGGUCAUGAGGCUGGUCGACCUGUGAAAAUGAGCUGAGCUGAGGUAAGAGAGAUAUACUGAGUUCAGUCCCCAGUUCUAAGUCCCGAGGCUCAGGUUUCUGAAGCUCAUCU